rnacentral:miRNA from 1 species
UAGCACCAUAUGAAAUCAGUGUC